rnacentral:rRNA from 1 species
UGAGGGAUAUUGGUCAAUGGGCGCAAGCCUGAACCAGCGACGCCGCGUGGGUGAAGAAGGUCUUCGGAUCGUAAAGCCCUUUUCCCACUGAAGAGGAAGGACGGUAGGUGGGGAAGAAGUCUCGGCUGACUACGUGCCAGCAGCCGCGGUAAAACGUAGGAGACAAGCGUUAUCCGGAGUUACUGGGCGUAAAGGGCGUGCAGGUGGCGUCUUAAGUCUGUUGUGAAAGCGCCUGGCUUAACCGGGCGAGGCCAAUGGAGACUGAGAGGCUGGAGGACGGCGGAGGGGUGUGGAAUUCCGGGUGUAGUGGUGAAAUGCGUAGAGAUCCGGAGGAACACCAGAGGCGAAGGCGGCACUCUAAGCCGUACCUGACACUGAGACGCGACAGCACGGGGAGCAAACG